UCCCACAACAAGCCAGCCGUAGUGGACCACAGUGAUGGACCAGCAGCUUUUGCCACCACUGAGGACACUGCCUCCGACCAGUGGACCAGCUUACCUCUUUCAAACAUCAGACUUAAAUUGACUCGGCAAAAAUAAAAGGACCUUUUAUUCUGACAACUGUAUGUUUUUUAUUAUGCCUUUUUAGUCUAUUUUCUGCUUAUGAAGAUAAUGCUUUUAUUAGAUAUUCCCACGAGGUUAAAACUCGUAUUUUAGGAAAUAGAAGUAAUUGCUGGGUAUGUACUCAAUUUCCAGUAAAUGCAGAACAGGAACUCCCCUUCACACCCAUUCCCCUGACCACUGCUAAUAUGACUUGGAUGCCACCGGCUAGAGUAAAAGAUCCAGUCCAACACAAUCUUACAUGGGACAAAACAGGAGUGCCAAUUAACAGAUAUCUCAGGGUAACCAAUCAGACAGGAUCACUGUGUUUUGUUAAAGAAAAGGAGUCAACUUUUGUGGGAACAAGUAAAUGUAACAUGUAUUUUAAUGGCACCGCCUUUAGUAAAAAUCUUGGCUUCAAGCCUUGCACAUCCCACUUAUCCCAUAUGUGGAUCCCUCACCCCGAUCCAACUUUUUCAUGGGUGGGCAGGCCUUCAGAGUCAGCUUUUAAGAAGCCCUGCUCAAAUCACAAGGGUGUCCAACUAAUUGCUAAGGGACAUACAAUUGCCUUCUACAACUGCUCAAGCUGUACUACACUGCCCUUUGAAAACACCACUACCAAAUUGUGCCUCUGCAGUUCGCACAACGACCCCUCUGCGUUACCAGGGAAACAGUGGUCCAACGGGUGGUGGGUUACCUCCUACUUUAAGAAAUGGAAUACCGGAAACGCAUUGUAUGAAACAUACUGGGUGUGCGGGCCCAAAGCUUAUUACUUUCUCUCCCCUGAUUGGGCAGGGUCAUGUUAUUUAGCGUGGCUAACACCGCCUUCUCGCAUCUCCCUCACUCCCCCUCAUUUUCCCCAUGUUCGUAACAUCCGUAAAACCUUCAGAGAUAUUAAUAUCCGUGUUGGUUUGUCGUGGCAGCGGUGGGCUGGUCUCAUUAGCUUAAGGGGUGGUGUCAUCCAUCUACAGGGACUACUAGAAUCUUUAACCAAUAAAACUGCGACCCUAUUUGAGAAUCAGGCCGGGGAAAUGUCCCAGCUGCGCCAGUUAGCUUUGCAAAACCAAAUGGCUUUAGACAUAAUGAGCCACCUUAUGAUUGGUGGGGAGCCUUAUGGAAUUGGCUGCCUGGAUUUGGGUGGGUUAAAAAACUCUUGGUGGGUAUUGUUGGGGCCAUAGUAAUCCUUAUAAUACUGUGUUGCUGUAUUCAGUGUGUCCCCUCCCUCAUAGACUCAUGUGGGUCAGUUUAUUCUUUUCCUAUUUCAGCCAAGGGCCUUACUCUCUUCGAGUUGGCCGAGGCUGAAAUUGCCAAGCGGCC
rnacentral:lncRNA from 1 species